CUACGGGUGGCUGCAGUGGGGAAUAUUGCACAAUGGGCGCAAGCCUGAUGCAGCCAUGCCGCGUGUAUGAAGAAGGCCUUCGGGUUGUAAAGUACUUUCAGCGGGGAGGAAGGGAGUAAAGUUAAUACCUUUGCUCAUUGACGUUACCCGCAGAAGAAGCACCGGCUAACUCCGUGCCAGCAGCCGCGGUAAUACGGAGGGUGCAAGCGUUCAUCGGAAUUACUGGGCGUAAAGCGCACGCAGGCGGUUUGUUAAGUCAGAUGUGAAAUCCCCGGGCUCAACCUGGGAACUGCAUCUGAUACUGGCAAGCUUGAGUCUCGUAGAGGGAGGUAGAAUUCCAGGUGUGGCGGUGAAAUGCGUAGAGAUCUGGAGGAAUACCGGUGGCGAAGGCGGCCCCCUGGACGAAGACUGACGCUCAGGUGCGAAAGCGUGGGGAGCAAACAGGAUUAGAUACCCUAGUAGUC
rnacentral:rRNA from 1 species